UACAGAGGUCCCAAGCGUUGUUCGGAAUCACUGGGCGUAAAGGGUGCGUAGGCGGCGCGGAAAGUCAGGGGUGAAAUCCCGGAGCUCAACUCCGGAACUGCCUUUGAUACUCCCGCGCUUGAGAACUGGAGGGGAGACCGGAAUUCACGGUGGAGCAGUGAAAUGCGUGGAUAUCGUGAGGAACACUAGUGGCGAAGGCGGGUCUCUGGACGAGUAUCUGACGCUGAGGCACGAAGGCCAGGGGAGCGAACGGG
rnacentral:rRNA from 1 species